GCUAUCGGGAGAAACUAGCAAUAGUUGCCGAAGGAGCAACCGCCCCGGAAACUCUCAGGCAAAAAGGACCGGUAU
rnacentral:ncRNA from 1 species